AGCACUUUUAGUGGGGAUGAAAAGCUCAGGGCUAAUACCCCUGGGUCUUGACCUAACCCACAGAAAAAGCACCGGCUAACUCUGUGCCAGCAGCCGCGGUAAUACAGAGGGUGCAAGCGUUAAUCGGAAUUACUGGGCGUAAAGCGUGCGUAGACGGUCAUGUAAGUCGGGUGUGAAAGCCCCGGGCUCAACCUGGGAAUUGCAUUCGAGACUGCAUGGCUAGGGUGCGGAAGAGGGAAGCGGAAUUUCCGGUGUAGCGGUGAAAUGCGUAGAUAUCGGAAGGAACACCAGUGGCGAAAGCGGCUUCCUGGUCCAGCACCGACGUUCAGGCACGAAAGCGUGGGGAGCAAACAGGAUUAGAUACCCUGGUAGUCCACGCCAUAAACGAUGAGAACUAGACGU
rnacentral:rRNA from 1 species